UUAGCUGAGAGGUGGUGCAUGGCCGUCGUCAGUUCGUACUGUGAAGCAUCCUGUUAAGUCAGGCAACGAGCGAGACCCACGUCCACAGUUGCCAGCAUACCCUCCGGGGUGAUGGGUACACUGUGGAGACCGCCGCUGCUAAAGCGGAGGAAGGAGUGGGCAACGGUAGGUCAGUAUGCCCCGGAUCUCCCGGGCUACACGCGGGCUACAAUGGUUGGUACAAUGGGCAUCUACCCCGAAAGGGGAAGGAAAUCUCUUAAAGCCAAUCGUAGUUCGGAUUGAGGGCUGCAACUCGCCCUCAUGAAGCUGGAAUCCGUAGUAAUCGCGUUUCAACAGAACGCGGUGAAUACGUCCCUGCUCCUU
rnacentral:rRNA from 1 species